AAGAGCCCCUUCCGGUUUCCGGGUGUGGGGAGGAAGUCCCUCCCCCCAUGCAACAGCGUAACAUAGCGGGACGCGCCCGCGGAGUUCUGGAACCAGAAAGUCCGAAAUGAAGGUGUCAGCAGGAUCACGCUUCCCCUGAAACUCUGGCCCGAUCAACCAAAUGGACUGUAGUUGCUCUGCAUUGUGACCCAUGAGGUUCAACCAUCAGAACAUUUGGGGUUUGGUCCUGGCUGUGCCCUUCGAACCUUGAAAGAGACCCUUUAAAGUCAUUCUAAAAUGCUUGUCUGUACUUAUUCUUUGAGAGGAUCAAGUCACGUUCUGAGAUACUGGUUUGAACUUCAACAUACUAAUUUUUGUGGGACACAAUUCAGCUCAUGAGAAGCUCUGACACUUUGCUAUUAAAUGUAUUUGCCACGAUAACCUUUACUAGGUAAGUUCUUUUCCAUUUCCAGCUUGCUUAAAAGCUGUUAUCAUAGAUGUUAACCUUUAGUCAAUGUUUUUAUGUACUUAAUGAGAUUUACUAUACGGCUUUUCAUAAUCUGCAGUGAUUUAUUCUAAUAGCUUUUCUAUUUUAGUCCAUGCCUGACUUUUCAGAAUAAACCCAAAUUGAUCAUGAUUUUAAUACAUUAUUGCUAAUAAUAUUUUAGAAGACAGUUUCUGCAUCCAAGUUCAUAAGAAAGAUUGGGCUAUAAGGUUUAUUGUUGUUAUUGUUAUUGGAUUGCCUUUGCUUUUUAUAUUGUUAAAAUGGCCUCAUGAAGUGAGGUGGGGACUAUGACAGAGAUUGUUAGUUGUUUCAUGUUGGGAUGAUGAAAAUGUUCUGGAGAUGGAUGGUGAUGAUGGUUGCGUGACGGUAUGAAUGUACUUCAUGCCACUGAACUUACACACUUAAAAAUGGUUAAAAUGGUGUGGUGCCUGGGUGGCUCAAUUGGUUAAGCAUCUGACUUUUUUUUUUUUUUUUUUUGGCUCAGGUCAUGAUUUCAGAGUUCAUGAGCUCAAGCCCUACGAUGGGCUGAGACAGCAUAGAGUCUGCUUGAGAUUCUUUCUCUCUCUCUCUCUUUCUCAAAAUAAAUAAACAUUUAAAAAAAAUAGUUAAAACGGUAAAUCCUGUGUUAUGUAUGUUUUACCACACACGCAUACAAAAACCCUAUCCACAGCUAACAUCCUACUUAAUGAUGAAGGACUAAAAGCUUUCCUCUUAAGAUUGUGAAUAAAACAGGCACGUUUGUUCUUGCCAUCCUUAUUCAGCAUUGUACUGGAGAUUCCAGGCAGGGCAAUUAUGAAAGAAAAAGGCAUCUAGAUUAGAAAGGAAAAAAUAAAACUGCCUCUAUUUAAAGAUGACAUGGGGCGCCUGGGUGGCUCAGUCGGUUAAGCGUCUGACUGUUGAUCUCAGCUCAGGUCUUGAUCUCAGUGUUGUGAGUUCAAGCCCCGCAUUGAGCUCCAUGCUGGGUGUGAAGCCUACUUUAAAAAAAAAAGUGACUGAUUUAUAUAUAGGAAAUUCUAAAGACACACACACACACACACACACACACACACCUAAUAGCUAAUAACCAAAUUCAGCAAGGUUUCAGGAUAUUAAUGUACAAAAAUCAUUUGUAUUUCUGUACACUAACAGUGAAAAAUUUGAAAAUGAAAUUUAGAAAACAGUUUCAUUUACAGUAGUAUCAAAAAGAAUUCUUAGGGAUUAUCUUUUUACAGAGAAGUACAGGACUUAUACACUGAAAACCACAAAAUAUUGUUGAAAGAAAUUAAGGAAGACCUACAUAAAUAGAAAGACAUCCCAUUUUCGUGGAUUGGAAGACAAUAAUAAGAUGGCAUUACUCCCCAAAUUGAUCUAAAAGUUCAACACAAUCCCAAGCAAAAUCCCAGAUGCUUUUUUUUCUUUUUUAAAGAAACGGACAAGCAGGGGUGCACGGGUGGCCAGGCCAGGGGAGCGUCUGACUCUUGAUAUCAGCUUGGGUUAUGAUCUCAACACGUUCAUGAGUUUAAGCCCCACAUCAGGCUCCGUGCUGACAGCGCAAAGCCUGCUUGCGAUUCUCUCUCUGUCUCAAAAAAAGUAAACUUAAAAAAAAAAAAAAAUGGACAAGCAGAUUUUAAAAUUCAUAUGGAAUUGCAAGGGACCUUAAAUUGCCAAAACAGUCUUUAAAAAGAUCAAAGAUGGAGAACUCACAUUUCCCUAUUUCAAGCCUACUACAAAUCCACAAUAAUCCAGAUAGUGUGCUAUUAGCAUAAGGAUAAACUUGUAGAUCAGUGGAAUAGAAUCGAGAUUCCAGAAGUAAACUCAUCAACUAUGGCCUAUGGAUUUUCAACAAAAGUCCCAAGAUCACACAAUGGGGAAAAGAUGAUUUCCACCAAUGGUGCCCAAAAAACUGAAAAUCCACAUGCAAGAGAAUGAAUUAGAUCCCUGCCUUAUACCAUAUACAAAAAUUAACUCAGUGGAUACAAGGCCUAACUGCAAGAGCUUAAGUUAGAAAACUCUUAAAACAUAGGUGUAAAUCUUUGUGACUUUGUAUAAUGCAAUAGUUUCUUAGCUAUGACCUCAAAAGCACAAGCAACAAAAUAAAAAAUAGAUCAAUUGAACUAUACCAAAGUGAAAAACUUCUAUGUGUCAAUAUGUAUAUCAAGAGAGUGAAAAGACAAUACACAGGAUGGGAGAAAAUAUUUACAGACUACAAUUGGAUAAAAGUCUAGUAUCCAUGAUAUAUAAGGAAUUCUUACAACCUAAAAAUUAAAACAGCCUAGUUAAAAAUGGCGAAAGGUAUUGAAUAGACCUUCUCCAACAAAGAUCUACAAACGGCCAGGAAGUACAUGAGAAGAUGCUCAACAUCAUUUGUCAUUAGAGAAAUGCGCACCAAAACCACAGUUAGAUACCACUUCACUCCUACUGGGAUUGCUGUAAUGAAAAAAGACAAUACAAGCGUUAGAAUGUGGAGAAACUGGAACAUCGCUGAUCGGAAUGUAAGACGGUGCAUUGGCUUUGGAAAAUAGUUGGAUGGUUCCUCAAAACAUAGAAUUAUCAUGUGACGCAGCAAUCUACUCCUAGAUACAGAUCCGAGAGAACUAAAAACAUAUGCUCCAACAAAAACCGGUACAUGAAUAUUCAUAACAGAAUUACUCAUAAUACUCCAGCAGUGGGAAGAACCCAAAUGCCCGUCAACUGAUACAUGGAUAAACAAAAUGUGGUAUAUUCAUACAGUGCAAUAUUCUUUGACCAUAAAAACAAAGGACGUUCUUAAAAACAAAUGCUACACAUGGAUGAAAUCUUGAAAACAUGCUAAGCGAAAGAAGCCAGACACAAAAGGUCUGGCUUAUAUAAUUAUGUAAUUCCAUUCAUAUGAAAUGUCCAGAAUAAGCAAAUCCAUAAAGGCAGA